GGUAGCUGCUGUCAAGAUCUGACUUGCUGCUGAGGUUGAGUCCUCAGGGAGAGACAGGAAUUUGUUCUGAACAAACUGUGGAGCCGCAGCCAAGAAGAGCCGCCAAGACCACCUAUGCUGCCAGACACAUCACUCAGAGAGGAUGUCCAGAUGGCAGGAGAAUCUAGCCCCAGGAUCGGGAUGGAGAUUGCGGGGAGGGAGUGGUAGUGAUGGAUGCCAUUAUUUCCUCCUAUGUCCACUUCAUCCAAAUAGGCUGCUGUCUUUUGAUUCAGAGCCUCCUGUUCAGCCUGCUAACUGUAUUGACCCAAAAGGAUGGGUCUGGGCUAUUUGC
rnacentral:lncRNA from 1 species